AGAAAAUUUUAUAAAAAUGAAAGGUCUUAUCCUUGUUUUCGCCGUCAUUGCUACAAGCUGUUUUGCUUCAGUGAUAGAACAAAAUUAUAGCGAUGCUGUUAGAACCGCAUGGAAGGUUUGUAAGACUGAUGAUAUGUCGGAUGAAACAUACUAUAAUAUGACAGAGGGGCAACAAAUGCCAAAAACGAAGGAAUAAAAAGUAAAUGAAUUUUUUUUUAAACUUUUUAUUUUUGCAUCAAUGGCCAUCACCGGCACGGCACGUCUCAUAUUUUUGGGGCUGCACCCGUAUUGGUCAUUAAGCCUUGAGUCAACGGCGCAGCCCGGCCCCCUCAGAGCGAGGCCCCCGCAGAUCCCGGCGCAGUGGCAGCCCCAGGCCUGGAAAGAACGGAACCCCACGGAUCUCUCGCUUUAGUCUUAAUAUUGCGCGCAGGACUUUAUCGAGGUGGGGUCGGUGUCUUGUCACCAUCGACGCCUCCUCUAAGCUCGCUGGAGAUUCCUUGACCUCAGAGUCCGGGGAAGCACCCCUCAAUCCAGCCCAAGACCGACCAGCACCCGAGGACCCGCACGGGCGUCGCCAGAAAUCAGCCGCACCACACCGCUAACAUGGGGAACCAGCAAAGGAAACAAGAGUUGAGGGAAUGGGAUAUUAGAUUUUAUCAAUUAGUUGGAUGUCUGUUAAGAAGUUAAAAAUUUUGUUUAUUGAUGUUGAGUUGUUGCUUAGUAUGGAUUGGAGGUCUUUGGGAAUCUGAUGGAGGGUUCUUUUAGAGGUGUAUAAAGGACAAUCUAUUAGGAUGUGGGAUAUUGUGACGGUAGUUUUACAGAGAGGACAUAUAUGUUUAGGAGUUCUUUCAAGGAGGAAUCUAUGGUUGAGUCGGGAGUGGCCAAUUCGAAGCCGGGUUAGGAGGGUUUCUUCUUUUCGGGAGGGUCUAGAAAAGUAUUCCCAUUUCUUUACAUCUUUCUUUAUUGCGAGGAGCUUGUUUUCUGUGCAGGCACCCCAUUCACACUUCCAUGCCCCCAGAUGAGCCGCCUAAAGUGACAGCAGAGGUCACUGAAGGGGACCCUUCCGUGAGGAACACCACUCAAGGCUGCCUCUCUCGCCAUACGGUCCGCCUUCUCAUUUUCAGUUAUUCCAGCGUGGCUUGGGAUCCAUUUGAAUAAUACUUCUACACCUACGUCUUGAUAUUGCUUUAACUUUGCAAGAAUAUUGUAGAUGUCUGGGUUUAGGGAGAAUGUGUUUUUUAGUGUGGUGAGUGCUCAAAGAGAGUCAGAACAGAUAAUUAGGGUGGUACGGGACACAUUAAUGAUGUUAAUUGCUUUGAGUAUAGCUAGGAGUUCAGCAGUAACUGGUGACUCACAGACAUUAGAAGAUCCAGUUCCAUCCUCAGACCUGGAUCCGUCAGUGAAAACAAAAACUGCUUCUGAAUGUGUAGAUUUGAACAUUAGAAAUUCAUUCUUAAAUAUAUACAGUGGGGUACGAUCCUUAUUGUCAGAAGAGAGUGAGUAGCAAAUGGAAGGAGUGAGGAGGGUCCAUGGGGGGAUGGUGGAUGAAUGCGAUUUUUAGACGUGAGGAACUUCAAUUUUGUAAUCUGUUAGGAAUAUGUGGAUUUUUAGUGGGGAGGAAAAACGUGGGAUGUGCCAGUCAGGAAGGUUUGGUAGAGGGCGUCCAUUUGUAAAAAAGGAAUGGAGAGGGUGAUGGGGUGAAUAGGAUUUUGGCAAAAUAGAAGAGGUCAGACAUGCGGCGUCUAUGUUUUAGUGGGAGUUCACCUGAGUCAACGUGUAUGCUGUUUACAGGGCUAGUACGAAAGGCACCAAUAGCCAUUCUCAGGCCUUGGUUUUGAAUUGGAUUGAUGAUUUCAAGUGUUUUUUCACUGGCUGACCCAUAUGCAACCGAUCCGUACUCAAUCUCAGAUUGGAUAAGAGUUUUGUAUAGCCUUAACAAGCUAUUUCUGUCUGCUCCCCAACGGGUGGAAAUUAAUAGACGGAAGAGGUUCAGUGAUGUUUGACAUGAUUGCUCUCUAUUUUUAAGAUGAAGUUUCCAAUUUAAAUGCUUAUCAAAAAUCAAACCAAGGUAGCGAACAGAGUCUGUGUACCGUAUAACUGCAUUAUGCAUUUUCAGAUUGGGUAGAAAAGAGGGUUGUCUUUUGGAGAAAAGUACAGCGACCGUUUUAGCUUCAGAGGCUUUGGAACCGUUAUUACCGAGCCAACUACUUAUGGAGGACAGAGUAGAUUGAAUUUGUUGUUGAAGUAUGGUUAUAUUUUUGUGUUUGCAGUAUAUUACAAGAUCGUCGGCAUAUAAAAGAGCUUGCACAGGUGAAUCAAUUGAAGUAAGGAUUUGAUUAAAACAUACACUGAAAAGCGUAGCACUUAGGACACAUCCCUGAGGCACACCGUUUUCUUGGGAGAAUUCAUCAGACAUGGCGCUACCACAACGAACCUGAAAACUUCUAUUAUCCAAAAAGUUGGAUAUAAAGUUCAGAAUGUGACCAGAGACACCGAGACGGAUUAAAGAGUCGAGAAUUAGUCGUCGCCAAGUGGGUCAAAUGCAUUCUCGACAUCAAGAAAAACAGCAAGAACUUUUUCUUUGUUGCGGAAGGCAUCCAUUAUACACUCUGACAAAUUGGUAACAGCAAGUGAGAUUCGAGAUACCAAUUAAGUCUUUGGGCUAAUAUUUUUUCAAGAAGUUUACUCAGAGAGCAUGUAAGAGCGAUAUGUCGAUAGCUUGAGGCUAAGAGAGAGGGUUUGUUUUUCUUUAGGAUUGGUAUGUUUACUGCUUUGCCCCAGAUUUUUGGAAAUUUACCUUUUAGAAAAAUCUCAUUGAAAAAGUUAAGUAUAACUUUUUGAUUAUUUUCACUAA